rnacentral:misc_RNA from 1 species
CCUGGCAAUGAAACGUAAUGAAAUAGCAGAUAAAAUUUCUUGGCUUAAUCAGCCCUGGUUACGACUGGUUGAAAGCAUGAAGUUGAGAGGGGUGUUAUGGGCUAUAGAUAUCUGCCAUGUUGUGAGAUAAGAGGGAACAAGAUGAUGCCAGCUAUGUUUGUAGGUACUCUGGGCUUAAGCCUAAAGAAAGUAGGAAGGAGUGGGAUUAACACUUAGAUUUCCAAUUACAAGAGAAUGAAUUGUAGUGUAGUGGAUCUUUUACCAAUGGCCCUUUAAAACAAAAUAUAAUUGUUGGAUUUAUUAAAGGUUAUCUUCAUGGGUAUGUGGAGGUGGGGGUAGUUGUUUUGACAAGAACGGGACCACUCAGGAGUGUUAAUGGGGGUGACAGUAGAUGGCCGUAUCGAGAACCGGCAGAUGGAAGAAAGGUGACACUGAGAGAAUUACGUGCUCCAACUGCAGCCCUUUACCUUGUAUCCCUUUUUUCACAACAGAGACGAGACUAUCUCUCCGCUGGAAGGAAAGAGAGCCUUGGCUGUGUCUGCGAAACAACAGACCACCACCAUCUUUCACGAACAAAAUAAAACCACAGUGAAAAGUUUUCAUCACAGGUCUGAGCAGCUUCAAGACUUCAAGAAUCUGUUUUCCUCGGUUUCACUGUGUAAAAUAUUAACUUCUCUGAAGUCCAUACCGACCCAUGUCAGAUUCCAUGUGUCUCCAGCUCAAUAAGAUGCUGUAGAUGAGAGGUACGUGUCAUGAAAUGGAAACAGUAGACAAAUUAAUAUAUGAUAAUAAAACCAAUUUCGAAUUUAGCAUCCUAAUUGACAAGUUUUAGGAUCACAUGGUGGUGCCAUUCACUGGUACUGUCAAUCAGAAAAUCAUUUUACAUCAAGUUGUAAUAGUAGAGUUGCAGAGGGAAUUUUCUCGGCAUAAUAAUCAAACUAAAUCCAAUGCCAAAUGCAAGUUUCAAUGGAGGAAAAGGAUAUGCAAUAUCGACAACAACUUUCAGGAUUUGACAUUAAUUAAAGAUUAUGCUUCUCUAGAAACCAGAACAAAUUCAUAGAUUCCAUCCUACUCAUCUUGCCUCUUUUCUUUCCUGAAAAAGGUUGAUGCUUAAUCUCAGAACUAGUCACUAGUAGGGGAUACCACCUCUCUCUCUCUAUAACAACGUCUACAUGCUUGUGAGUUGUGAGUUUGUAGCUGGAUUCGACUUGUCUGAUAAAACUCAUGCCACUUCUUUUGCAUAGGUAAGCUACAAUGUAACCAUGAUCGAUUAUAUUCCCAGUUCUUUUCCUAAGACUUCUGACAUGAAAAUAAGCACCCAUUCUUGAGUUUCAGCAUAUAGGCCAAAGGCCAUACUUUCAUAACUAUUAUCAUCAUUAUCUUGUACGAAGAGCAAAUGAACCCUAUAAUCAUAUUCUGCUAGUUUGCGUAGAAUUUCUUUUGGAACUUCUGCCAUGUCUUCCUUUCAGGCUCGACCAUUAUUAGCGCCAACAAUUUGAACCGCACGACGGGUCUUUUAAUUGAUUUUCAGGUCCUCAACAGAAAGCACUGCAUAGGAGCAUUGAAAGCAAAACAGGCUUUCAUAGAUACUGAUAAGUGCAACAAACACAAGAAUUAUUCCAAGGUUAAGACAACCAAUAAAAUAAUAAACAAAUUUAAUAUUACUAUAAAUACAAAUCAUAAAGGAGACCUUCCAUAAAAAUCAAUCAACCUCUUUGAAAAAACAAAGCAUAAAGGACAUGUCUCCAUCAAGGUUUGCAUCGGCACAACUCACAUAUUGACUCAUGGCCACCAAGCACAGUUCACCCCAUUCAUACAGCAAAUUCAGGCACAAAAAUUGCACAAGAUUCCAAUGCAUCAUGCCUGGACCACCAACGUGCUAUCAGAUAUUUCCUUUAUUUAUUUAUUUUUUCAUUCAAAGUUUUUUCACACGAGGAAUAAAUCCCAAUCAGCAGCCACUUAUCUUGUUGGUAAGGAAGUAGUCUCGAGAGCAUUCCCGGGCUUCGCUUCACUUUUCCAUGGCAGCAUGCGGGCUUAUUUUAAUUGGAGGAAAUUCUUCACUCAAAUAAAUUCUCACUCAUCAUCCACUGACAGCUAUGAUACUUGUCUCACAAUAGUUGUCAUUGUGUAACAGUGUUUACAUAAAGUUUGUUUUCUACCUCUCCUAAUAUGUAGUGUGUAUUGGAAGCACAAGCCUAUACCUUGAACCUGGAUCCUUUGUACUAUUUUUAACUAGAGAUGACUAUGCAGUUGGCCUCUCUGGAUUAUUAAUGAGUUCCCAAACCUCCAAAAACUUCCAUGAAAUUUCACAUUUCUAGAAACCCAGGCUUGCAUUUUGCAUAUGAAAGCACCUCCUCCUCAGAGUCAGGUCAAAUUUAAUGCUGGCAUCCAAUCGGAUGAAAUUGCUAUCGAGUCUUCCACUAGUUGGCAUGACAGAAAAGAAAGAAAUGGGAAAAAAAACAAUAAAUACUUAAAGGAAGCAUCAGAAGUUAAUGCACUUAUUAAUCAAUAGAUAUAAAAAAAACAAAACAUAUAUCCACAAAUUCUUGCUACUUUAAGACAUUUUGUGUGCUUUGUCAAUAGAUUGUUAUCUGCGGAAAAUAAGCACAGAACAAUACCUCAUGGGAGGGCCAUGGGCUUCUGAGCACCAGAUCGAGGAAUACCCAAGAUGGCUACGACUCCACCAGCAAAGGCUGCCAGAGCUCCAACUGCAAAGGCUGGUGAAUUUCCGCCACCAAAUAGCUGAUCCCAUGGUCCACUUCCAAGGGACACAAUCACCUGUGGAGUUACAAUUGCCAAAUUUAAAACACCCAUUGAUAAACCUUGACCAAGUCCCAAAGGUUCAAUCCGUGAGGAUAUCAAGGCAUACGGCACACUAUAAGUGAUCGCCAACGGAACACCAAGAACUGCAAAAAUCACUAUUGCUGCAAUUACAAUGCCAUGUGGUGGUAGAUCAUGACCUAAAUAGCCAAUGUGGUUUGCAACAUAGGAGGUUAUAAGCAUUGCAAGAAAGCAAAGAGCCAUGAGUAUGUUUGAAAUUCCCCAGAUGAAACCAGCUCCCCACUUCCUGCAGAGCCUCUCCAUAAACAAAGAUGUUACACCAAGAAAAACUGAAUUCAACAUCAGAGCAAAAGCACCUGUUCUGACCCCAAUAUUAUAAUUCUGUCCUUCAUUUGGCUUGCCACCAUAGAUUUCUCGACCCAUCCAAUCAGUAUCAAAGAGAAGAAAUGGAAACCAACCAAUCCAAUUUAGAGCAGUAACUAACAAUAUUGUCCAUACAGGCCAUGGGAAAUAUCUAAAUGUCCCAAAUAGCUCCCACAGGAAAGCCUCUUGUGCAUGGCUUGACUGUCCUGACACAUCUUCAGCAAUGGGUGUGGAUCUGUCGGACAAACAUAGAGGUGAUUCUUGAGCUGCUGUGAUGCUUAGAUAUGCAGUAAUUACCAUAAAAACAAUGUCAAGAUAGAACGCAGACUUGAGAUUGGCACAGUCAACAUUACAUGCAGAAGUAACAGUAAAUGGGAAAACCUUGAACCAUUUACUGAAAGCUCCAGUGGCAAAGCCAAGAAUAUUACCAACUGCCAUGAAUAAUGAGAAAUAAGCAUUUGCCACUCGAGUCCUGCGAUGAUCCUUUCCAGUAAGAUCAGCAAGAAGAGCUCUACAGGGACCCUGAGUCAUGUUAUUAGCCACAUCCAGAAUCCAGAAUCCGAAAACGAAUACCCCGAUAGCUCUUGGCCUGGUGUUCCCCCUGUCCCCCAACAACCACCCGAUAUCGGCGGAGUGGCCGAUGAUUAAAACGGAAAAACAAAUUAAACUUGCACCAGUAAAGAUAAACGGCCUUCGGCGGCCGAACCGGCUGGUGCAGCGGUCACUCAUGUGGCCAACGAGGGGCUGCACCACCAGGCCCGAUAAUGGCCCGCAAAGCCAUAUCACGCUGGCCCAGGCGUGCGGAAUUCCCAGCUCCUGAACGUAAGGUGUCAAGAGAGAGAGCUGCAGAGCCCAUCCGAAUUGUAUUCCACCCGCGACUGAAGUCACACGUAGUAGUUGACGCAAGGGGACUCUGCGGACCACCGGUGGCCGAGCCCUUGCUCGGUGUGACUCCGCCUGUGGGAUCGCCAUCACCUUCUCGAAAGAAACAAGCACAAGCACCAAAACUCACUAAUCUAUAGAUUAUAUAGCAACUGUUUCUGUGUUGACGCGAGUGUGCUUCUGCUUCUCCUUCUCCUCCUCUGCCUCUCUCUCUCUCUCUCU